rnacentral:lncRNA from 1 species
UAAGAUUUAUGAAUGGACUUCACAAAUAAACAUUACACAACUUGGACAAAAGGUAUAUUAUGAAUUCCAGAGUCUGAAAGGAUGGAUGAACUUUUGUCAAAAUUCUAUUGCUGUCAGUUUCCAGCCAGACAUCAAACUCAACUCGUAUCACAAUAAAGGGCAUGAGGGUAUUAAAUAAUAACGUUCUUCAAUAGGACACGUUUCACCCAUUGACCGUCACUUGGAACUGCUCAUUUUUUCCUAAUCAUUUAAAUGUAGUUUUUGAUGAGAAAUGAAUGGAAUUGAUUUCUAUUUCUCAUCAGGAAAGUUUCAAUAAAAAAGAUUCUUAAAUUAGCUGGAGGAAAAAAAAACUCUGUUCCAAGUAAACAUUUAGUGUAAUUUUAUUACAUUUUUCAAAUUGUUUUUAGCUGCACAUAAAAAUCCAUAUAAUGAAGACGAAAGCAAUUAAAUUUCUAUUUACUGUGGAAUAGUGAGUUCUGUGUGAUACUCAUGGGAUCCCAAAACAGUAGCACUGCUUUCAAAAAACUAAAAAUAUCAUCUCCACCCCCAUUUUUCUUCCUUUACAUCUUAUUCAUAAGCAAUGACUUCAUAAAACAAAUUCUACUACCAACGAUGUUCUGUGCUGCAAGGCGUCCACGUGAGUUACAAAGAUACCCAUUAGAUAGCAAAAGGUUGUAGCAUGCUGAGUUACAGACUGGGAAGAAUAAUCUUUGUAGUUUUUUUCACUUUACCUAAAUACUCCAAACCCCUGCGAUGUUCUAUUAUUGUGGUUUCAGUAAGUUUCUCUAAAAUCCAGGAUGCUUUAUAAACUUUAAAGAUGUUAUUUUUCAAAGGGUAUGUCUUAAUAGGUGCCUAUAAUUCAUCUCUAUCACCUGUUCUAAUUUCUCAGAUCAUUUUCCAGGCUUUUUGAAAUGUGCUUAUACUUUAAAUAUCAUUCUUGUGUGCUUCAACAUCAGCAUAAUAUAAUCUGAAUUUUAUGUAGUUUACCGGAUCAUUAUAAUGGCAGAAGAAAAUGUUGAUGUCCUCUCAUAAGAAAAUAAUUAAAGGUGA